rnacentral:rRNA from 1 species
UACGAAGGGUGCUAGCGUUGUUCGGAAUCACUGGGCGUAAAGGGCGCGUAGGCGGCUCGACAAGUCAGAGGUGAAAUCCCAGGGCUCAACCCUGGAAUUGCCUUUGAAACUGUCGAGCUUGAGUGUCGGAGGGGAUAGCGGAAUUGCUAAUGUAGAGGUGAAAUUCGUAGAUAUUAGCAGGAACACCGGUGGCGAAGGCGGCUAUCUGGACGACAACUGACGCUGAGGCGCGAAAGCGUGGGGAUCAAACAGGG